rnacentral:rRNA from 1 species
GACGAACGCUGGCGGCGUGCCUAAUACAUGCAAGUCGAACGCUUUUUCUUUCACCGGAGCUUGCUCCACCGAAAGAAAAAGAGUGGCGAACGGGUGAGUAACACGUGGGUAACCUGCCCAUCAGAAGGGGAUAACACUUGGAGACAGGUGCUAAUACCGUAUAACACUAUUUUCCGCAUGGAAGAAAGUUGAAAGGCGCUUUUGCGUCACUGAUGGAUGGACCCGCGGUGUAUUAGCUAGUUGGUGAGGUAACGGCUCACCAAGGCAACGAUGCAUAGCCGACCUGAGAGGGUGAUCGGCCACACUGGGACUGAGACACGGCCCAGACUCCUACGGGAGGCAGCAGUAGGGAAUCUUCGGCAAUGGACGAAAGUCUGACCGAGCAACGCCGCGUGAGUGAAGAAGGUUUUCGGAUCGUAAAACUCUGUUGUUAGAGAAGAACAAGGAUGAGAGUAAAACGUUCAUCCCUUGACGGUAUCUAACCAGAAAGCCACGGCUAACUACGUGCCAGCCGCCGCGGUAA